ACUAGAGUUUGAUCCUGGCUCAGGAUGAACGCUGGCGGCGUGCCUAACACAUGCAAGUCGAGCGAGAAAUUCACAAAUGAAUCUUCGGAGGAAUGCGAGAAUGGAAAGCGGCGGACGGGUGAGUAACGCGUAGGCAACCUGCCCCAUACAGAGGGAUAGCCAUUGGAAACGAUGAUUAAAACCACAUAAAACCGAGGUAUCGCAUGGUACCAUGGUCAAAGAUUUAUCGGUAUGGGAUGGGCCUGCGUCUGAUUAGUUAGUUGGUGAGGUAACGGCUCACCAAGGCGACGAUCAGUAGCCGACCUGAGAGGGUGAACGGCCACAUUGGAACUGAGACACGGUCCAAACUCCUACGGGAGGCAGCAGUGGGGAAUAUUGCACAAUGGGCGAAAGCCUGAUGCAGCAACGCCGCGUGAAGGAAGAAGGUCUUCGGAUCGUAAACUUCUGUCCUAUGGGAAGAAGCAAGUGACGGUACCAUAGGAGGAAGCCCCGGCUAACUACGUGCC
rnacentral:rRNA from 1 species